GAGACCAGACACUCACCGGGAGAGACAGUGACAUGAGAGCUGCGGCGGACCCAAUAAGACACGGCUAGUGACAGGAGAGUAUUGUUUUGAAAGCCACAAUGUCAAGUGAUGUCUCCAACCUUGCUUCAUAUCAGUCUUGUUCUGCUGAUGCACCUCAGAGAAAAACACUCUCACAGUUGUUAGGGCCAAGAACUCACAGGCAAAGACAGAGGCCUCUUCCUGCACAUGGACUGAAGGAUGCAGUCAUUCGGUUCAUGAGUCGUCAUCAGAAUCUCGGUGACCUGCUCCUGGAGG